rnacentral:lncRNA from 1 species
GCUGUUUAUAUCCAGCCUCCAUUGGAGCCAGGUACAGUGUAUCAGAGGCGCUGGACUCAGAAUUCCCUCCCUCUACCCCCACACACCUGCCAUGGCCGUGCUAACUUCUCUUCCCUUGAGAUAAGUUCUACUCGGGGAACUUUCUCAGCCUUGCCCACGUGGGCUUAUGCUGGCUGCCUCCACCUUCCUCCCAAUCAAGCUCCCAGGGUGUACGCACGAUGACCCAGUCAUUCUGGAAGUUUGCCUGCUAGAAGCUGGGGAAAACACUGUCAAAACUGCCAGCAGUUUUAUGUUUAAAGCAGAAGCAGUGUUCACGGGAGGUGUUCAAAGCUUGUCUCCCGUUUUGGAAUACUUUGCAGCUGUUCUGGAGUUUUGAAGGAAAAGGCCAGAUCCUGCCCUGGAAUGGGAAGGUCAGGUGCAGACCCUGUCCCAGGAUUUCUGGCCCUGGCGUCCUGCGAUUCCCAUUACAUGACGUCUGUCCAACAGUCAGGAGAGAGCUCCACAGUAACGGGAUCGAACUUGGGUCCUUGCACUUGCGCAGCAGGCGGCAAAACCGCUGAGCUAAAUCCCCGGCCCUCCAUCCUGAUUUUUGAUGCUACCUCUAGCAACUCUCCUCCUCGUCAUCCUGCUCCUCACAGCCUCCUUACUGAAUAAUACAUAGUGAUCCAUUUUGCGUUGCUUUAACAAACUACCUGAGACAGUGUGGUUUAUAAGGAAAAAAAAGUGUGUUUGGGCCCACAGUUUUGGAGGCUGAAAACUCUAAGCUCAGGGGCCCCAUCUGGCAAGGGCUUCAUACCGAUCAGAACAUGAAAACAACAUCACCUCCCAAGCCGGGCAUGCAGAAGAGGGCACAAGCAUGUGGGGUGGCCCUGCUUUAUAACAAGUCAGGCCUGAGUGCCUAAUCCAGUCUCGAGAGACCUGUCGCACCCCUCUGACAGGCCUUAACCCCUCCCUAGGAUGGUGCUCCCAAGAUCUAAUUCCCUCCCCCUAGGCCUUUCCUCUUAAAAGGUGCUACGGCUCAAUACCAUUGGAGGACUCCAAGCACCACCACCCCGAUCAGAGAGCCCCCUAAACAGCGCCCCCAGCACAGCUGUGCCUGGGGACUCAAAGAGUCAUCAGCCCUGCUGUUGACAGCAGCCACUAUGCCCUGCGCUUCCCAAGCCUCGCUCUUGAGCAAACAUUGUCACUUGUACUCUCUCAAGCCUUGUUCUUGGCAGGAAGCCCCACCCCCCUUUCACUGAACACCCUCUCCCCGUGACACUACAAGAGACCCCACAGCCUGUGGGGUCUCUCAUGCCACAGUGGUUCUUCUUGGGUUUGUUCUGAAAUAAACCUGUUCUGUUGAGCUCAUACUUCUGUUUUCUUCCUCCUUUUUUUCCUAAAAACUGUUACACUGGGGACCAAGAUUGUAGCACGCAAACCUUUAGAAGACAAACCACAUCCAAUCCACAUGACUAUGCUUCAGACAGUCUAACAUCUGCCCCAGGAUCUUUGCACAUGCCGUUUUCUUUCUCUGGACAUCCUGGCCCCCACACCCACCUUUAUGCUUGGUCCUUCAUCACUCCUCCGAUGUCCCCUCCUUGGCCAGGCCUUCCCAAACCAUAAU